rnacentral:rRNA from 1 species
CUGACGGAGCAAGACCGCGUGGGGGAGGAAAGCCUUUGGGUUGUAAACCCCUUUUCUCAGGGAAGA